rnacentral:rRNA from 1 species
UACGGAGGAUCCAAGCGUUAUCCGGAUUUAUUGGGUUUAAAGGGUGCGUAGGCGGCCUAUUAAGUCAGGGGUGAAAGACGGUAGCUUAACUAUCGCAGUGCCUUUGAUACUGAUGGGCUUGAAUGUACUUGAGGUAGGCGGAAUGUGACAAGUAGCGGUGAAAUGCAUAGAUAUGUCACAGAACACCAAUUGCGAAGGCAGCUUACUAAAGUAUGAUUGACGCUCAGGCACGAAAGCGUGGGGAGCAAACAGG